rnacentral:rRNA from 1 species
AUUGAACGCUGGCGGUAUGCUUAACACAUGCAAGUCGAACGGCAACGGAGUCUAGCGUGCUAGACAGACGGCGAGUGGCGAACGGGUGAGUAACGCGUAGGAAUAUACCUUAAAGAGGGGGACAACUUGGGGAAACUCAAGCUAAUACCGCAUAAUUUCUGAGGAAAGAAGCUGGGGACCGCAAGGCCUGGCGCUUUAAGAUUAGCCUGCGUCCGAUUAGCUAGUUGGUGAGGUAAGUGCUUACCAAGGCGACGAUCGGUAGCUGGUCUGAGAGGAUGAUCAGCCACACGGGGACUGAGACACGGCCCAGACUCCUACGGGAGGCAGCAGUGGGGAAUAUUGGACAAUGGGGGGAACCCUGAUCCAGCAAUACCGCGUGUGUGAAGAAGGCCUGAGGGUUGUAAAGCACUUUCAGUGGGGAGGAGGAUGUAUAGGUUAAGAGCUAAUAUGUUGGACGUUACCCACAGAAGAAGCACCGGCUAACUCCGUGCCAGCAGCCGCCGUAA